GAUGAACGCUGACAGAAUGCUUAACACAUGCAAGUCUUUGGCGAAGCUGUGCUUGCACAGCCUAGCCAAGGCGGACGGGUGAGUAACGCGUAAGGAACUUGCCCUGCAGUCAGGGAUAACAGACGGAAACGACUGAUAAGACCUGGUAAAGUCAGGCGGACUCAUGUCCAGCCUGAUGAAAAGAGAUGCUGCAGGAGAGCCUUGCGUCCUAUUAGCUUGUUGGUGGGGUAACGGCCCACCAAGGCGAUGAUAGGUAGCCGGCCUGAGCGGGUGGACGGCCACAAGGGGACUGGGAUACGGCCCUUACUCCUACGGGAGGCAGCAGUGGGGAAUAUUGGACAAUGGGGGCAACCCUGAUCCAGCAAUUCUGUGUGCACGAUGAAGGUUUUCGGAUUGUAAAGUGCUUUCAGCAGGGAAGAAAAAAAUGACGGUACCUGCAGAAGAAGCGACGGCUAAAUACGUG
rnacentral:rRNA from 1 species